CGCCCCGCCCGUAGUCCCGGAACACGUGGGUCAUCUGAAAAGCACAGGGCAGGGGGUCGGGGGUCAGGGGUCGGGAGGUCAGGGGCAGAUAACAGACCUAUUACUGUGCUUUCUGUCCCGCUCCAGAGAAAGGGCAGAUUUGUCAUUAAAAUCAAAUGUGUUUUUUAAUUACCAAUUGGCUGUGUUUCCCCUACUUUAUUUUAAACUUAA